GGAUAGUGCAAGGAAGGACGAGAUUGCAGAAUUGGGGGCGCCAAACAGCAACAGGAACGAACGUGUUUAGUGCAUUUUAUGAUAGAUUCGUGAAUACCAUAGGAGGCAUCCAGCUGCACGCGGCGUUGAUGCCAACGAGGACCACGGGGCACUGCUUAAAGAGGAACCUUUAAUUGAGUUUACUGGGGAGGUCUCUCUCUCCAACUUAUAUCACC
rnacentral:misc_RNA from 1 species